rnacentral:rRNA from 1 species
UACGUAGGGGGCAAGCGUUGUCCGGAUUUAUUGGGCGUAAAGAGCGUGUAGGCGGUCUGGUAGGUCCGCUGUGAAAACUCGAGGCUCAACCUCGAGACGCCGGUGGAAACCAUCAGACUAGAGUCCGGAAGAGGAGAGUGGAAUUCCUGGUGUAGCGGUGAAAUGCGCAGAUAUCAGGAAGAACACCCGUGGCUAAGGCGGCUCUCUAGUACGGUACUGACGCUGAGACGCGAAAGCGUGGGGAGCAAACAGG